GUGAUGGAUUUCGUUUUUUACGCCAUUUUCUCAUCCUUGGAAUUAUUUGUCGGUUUGUUUCAGCGCUGCUAUACGCCUGACAGAGGCACUAGGACUGGUAUCCUGACAGAAAGCAGACCCCUGAUGGAAGCCUUCUCUCGUAGCGUACGGACACGGUACGCUCCCAUCAUGGUGGACAGGUGGACGAAUGGUCCCUGGGGAGGUGGUCAGAAAGAGAGAAGCAGCUUAACAGGUGAGAACAGGAAACACCUGGCUGAAAGUUUUCAUCUAGGUUUAUCUUCAAGAAAACGACUGCUGCUGCAUUAUUGGUUCAUCUGGUCUCCGCUGGUCUACUGGCCAACUCACCUGGACCUCAUGUGCUGUCAGUCAUUUACAGUCCUUAAGAUCUGCCUGCACGGGCCACAGAAAUAUCAUAAAGAGGCUGAGCAUGUUCCCUCUUCGAAAGCACACAAUGGAAUGAAAGCCCACUGAAGCAUUCAUCCACGGUGAGAACACCAUUACGAGAAUCAAUGCGUUCAUUGUUUGGGUGCGUGAGUGAGAGGGGAAUGAUGGGUUAUCGUAUUUUGAAAUGAAUUUCCUUUUUCGAAAAAAAAAAAUUCAAAAUGGAACUUUCAUGUGGAACUGUCACGAACAAUGGCGUGCCCUAUCUAUGGCAGCCCAAAAUGUCUUUCUUACAGACUCAGUCGCCUCUGAGCUUGUUCCCAUCUACAAAAGAAAAAGCACUGGCAGUACGGUACUCUGUCGCUAAUGCUUCUGUGUAAAUUGGGGGUAGCGCCAAAGCCAGACAUUUGGACGAUAAAGGUGGGGCAGGUUACGUAAUUCAGACCCACUGACAGACACUGUCCGGUUACCGGACGUAAGCGUUUGUGUUUGUGUAUGCGUGCGUGUGUGGGUAGGGCUGGGGUGUGCGGAUAUUUUUAGCCCUAUGGGGCAACUGUGACUAACGUGUUGAAAAUGUGCGGAGGCACACGCUUUCAUACCCGCAAUUUCAAUCUUAUUCCCAGCCACGUGCGGGUCAGACCUUCGCUCUCACAGCCAGCCCUGAGCCCGGGCUAAGCUGUUGCAGUCUGUGACCUCCCCAAAGGUCACCCAAUGUCACCUAGGAAGUGCUGAGGGCCGUGGGCUGGCUGGCCUGUUUACUUUUUAACUAAUAUUUACUCACUCAGCACCAGGGGGCACAGUAAUUGCUGGGAACUAUAAACACACUCACGUGCAUUCUCUCUCCCUCUCUUGCCCUCCCUCUCUCUUGCUCUCUUAUUCUCCUGCUCUCU